CGUGCAGUUAGGAAUUUUGGGCAAUGGGCGAAAGCCUGACCCAGCAACGCCGCGUGGGUGAUGACGGCCUUCGGGUUGUAAAGCCCUUUUCCCAGGGAAGAUGAUGACGGUACCUGGGGAAUCAGCCCCGGCUAACUACGUGCCAGCAGCCGCGGUAAUACGUAGGGGGCAAGCGUUGUCCGGAUUUAUUGGGCGUAAAGCGCUCGCAGGCGGUUCCAUGCGUCGUGCGUGAAAGACCCCGGCUCAACUGGGGAGGGUCGUGCGAUACGGUGGAACUUGAGGCCAGUAGGGGGACGCGGAAUUCCGGGUGUAGUGGUGGAAUGCGUAGAGAUCCGGAGGAACACCAGCGGCGAAGGCGGCGUCCUGGACUGGUACUGACGCUCAGGAGCGAAAGCGUGGGGAGCGAUCCGGAUUAGAUACCCGGGUAGUCCACGCCGUAAACGAUGAGCACUAGGUGUCGGGGGUAUCGACCCCCUCGGUGCCGCAGCUAACGCGAUAAGUGCUCCGCCUGGGGACUACGGCCGCAAGGCUA
rnacentral:rRNA from 1 species